rnacentral:rRNA from 1 species
AGUCAUACGCUCAUCUCAAAGAUUAAGCCAUGCAUGUCUAAGUAUAAGCAUUUAUACAGUGAAACUGCGAAUGGCUCAUUAUAUCAGUUAUAGUUUAUUUGAUAGUCCCUACUACUUGGAUAACCGUAGUAAUUCUAGAGCUAAUACAUGCACAAAGUCCUGACUGCUUGCGGGAAGGAUGUAUUUAUUAGAUAUAAACCAAUGGCGGGCUUGCCCGUGUUUCGGUGAAUCACAAUAACUUAGCGGAUCGCAGUGACCUUGAGUCGGCGAUGAAUCAUUCAAGUUUCUGCCCUAUCAGCUUUCGAUGGUAGGGUAUUGGCCUACCAUGGCGUUAACGGGUAACGGAGAAUUAGGGUUCGAUUCCGGAGAGGGAGCCUGAGAAACGGCUACCACUUCUACGGAAGGCAGCAGGCGCGUAAAUUACCCAAUCCUGACAUAGGGAGGUAGUGACAAAAAAUAACAAUACGUGACCUAACAGUCGUGUAAUUGGAAUGAGGCAAAUUUAACAUCCUUGCCGAGUAUCAAU